GGACGAACGCUGGCGGCGUGCUUAACACAUGCAAGUCGAACGAGAAAGGCUCUUCGGAGCUGAGUACAGUGGCGAACGGGUGAGUAACACGUGGGCAACCUGCCCUAGGGAGCGGGACAACCCGAGGAAACUCGGGCUAAUACCGCAUGAUUCGCACGGCCAUAAGGUCGUGCGGGAAAUGGUAGCUUCGGCCUCCGCCCUGGGAUGGGCCCGCGGCGCAUUAGCUUGUUGGUGAGGGUAACGGCCCACCAAGGCGACGAUGCGUAGCUGGUCUGAGAGGACGAUCAGCCACACUGGGACUGAGACACGGCCCAGACUCCUACGGGAGGCAGCAGUGGGGAAUCUUGCGCAAUGGGCGGAAGCCUGACGCAGCAACGCCGCGUGUGGGAAGACGGCUUUCGGGUUGUAAACCACUUUCAGGGGGGACGAAGCUUCCGAGGUUAAUAGCCUACGGGGUGACGGUACCCCCAGAAGAAGCCCCGGCUAACUACGUGCCAGCAGCCGCGGUAAUACGUAGGGGGCGAGCGUUGUCCGGAAUCAUUGGGCGUAAAGCGCAUGUAGGCGGUUGACUAAGUCGGAUGUGAAAGCUCCUGGCUUAACUGGGAGAGGCCAUUCGAAACUAGUCGGCUGGAGGGUGGUAGAGGAGAGCGGAAUUCCAGGUGUAGCGGUGAAAUGCGUAGAUAUCUGGAGGAACACCAGUGGCGAAAGCGGCUCUCUGGACCAUUCCUGACGCUGAGAUGCGAAAGCCAGGGGAGAGAACGGGAUUAGAAACCCCGGUAUUCCUGGCCGUAAACGAUGUCAACUAGGCGUAGGAGGUUAUAAACCCCUUCUGUGCUGUAGCAAACGCGUUAAGUUGACCGCCUGGGGACUACGGCCGCAAGGCUAAAACUCAAAGGAAUUGACGGGUCCCCGCACAAGCAGCGGAGCGUGUGGUUUAAUUCGAGGCUACACGAAGAACCUUACCAGGGUUUGACAUGCUAGUGGUAGUGAAGCGAAAGCGGAACGACCCUUCGGGGAGCUAGCACAGGUGCUGCAUGGCUGUCGUCAGCUCGUGUCGUGAGAUGUCAGGUUAAGUCCUGUAACGAGCGCAACCCUCGUCGUUAGUUACAAGUGUCUAACGAGACUGCCCGUGAUAAGCGGGAGGAAGGUGAGGAUGACGUCAAGUCAGCAUGGCCUUUAUGUCCUGGGCUACACACACGCUACAAUGGCCAGUACAAUGGGUAGCCAAGUCGCGAGACGGAGCCAAUCCCGCAAAGCUGGUCUCAGUUCGGAUUGCAGGCUGCAACCCGCCUGCAUGAAGUCGGAGUUGCUAGUAACCGCGCGUCAGCCAUAGUGCGGUGAAUACGUUCCCGGGGAU
rnacentral:rRNA from 1 species